CGGUGCUGAAGGGCAGGGAACAACUUGAUGGUGCUACUUUGAACUGCUUUUCUUUUCUCCUUUUUGCACAAAGAGUCUCAUGUCUGAUAUUUAGACAUGAUGAGCUUUGUGCAAAAGGGGAGCUGGCUACUUCUUGCUCUACUUCAUCCCACUAUUAUUUUGGCACAACAGGAAGCUGUUGAAGGAGGAUGUUCCCAUCUUGGUCAGUCCUAUGCGGAUAGAGAUGUCUGGAAGCCAGAACCAUGCCAAAUAUGUGUCUGUGACUCAGGAUCCGUUCUCUGCGACGACAUAAUAUGUGACGAUCAAGAAUUAGACUGCCCCAAUCCAGAAAUUCCAUUUGGAGAAUGUUGUGCUGUUUGCCCACAGCCUCCAACUGCUGUGAGUUUAAAGAUAAACUGUACAUCUUCAAUAUUCAUAUUUAGACACAUGAUUAGUUCCUAUAUCAUAGGAGCCUAAAAGGGAAUGAAAGUCAUGUUCAUCAAAUAGCCAUGUUUGCAUUACAAGUAAAAAGUGGACGUUUCAAUUUAAAGAUAAGGAUUGGUUAGAAUCUGGGCUAAUGAAUAAUAUGCAAAUUCUAUGUCUUGUUUAACUUGUUUCUUUUCCAUUUAUUAGCCUACUCGCCCUCCUA
rnacentral:sRNA from 1 species